ensembl:lncRNA
CCCAGGGCUUUGCUGGGGCUGGAGCUGGACAGGGCAUCCCCUCCGCCCCAUGGCACAGGGUGAGGGAGGAGGUGGGAGCAGGAGGAGCCCCACUCCGCUACGGGGCACCCCUUUGCACAUCCCAGCCCCACAUCGACCACCGUCCGAGGUGGCUCAGCGCAAUGCAACCCCAUCGCCGUGCCCAAAGGCUCUCCCUCCAACGCACCUCCUAUCGACGUCGCCCCGAUUUCCAGCAUCGCUGCGUUGAAAAAUGGCAGGGGAGGGUUUGGCAGCGCGGCCGCGCGUGGAUUAUUCAACAAUUGUUUCCCAUUUUGCGCCCUCGCCUGCCUCAUCCUCCAGUAACAAUGACGAAGAGCGGCGCGGAGCCAGCGCCCGCGGCAGGGGUGUUGAGAUCAGGGACAGCACAAAAAUAUCUUCUCUCUGGAACAAAUAUUUACCAACCCUUCUGCCUUUUGUUCUUGUGGUUCUCAUAUUUUUUUUCCAGACAUUCACUGGCAAAAUGUCACAUUAAACAGCAACCCAGAAACUUCGGGGUAGCUGCUUGGCUGCUCUGGGCUUUGUUUUUCUCGCGCGUUAAUUGUUAAUGAAUUUCCAGCCAUUCAAGCCAACACAAACCUGUGAGAAAAAG